UUCUAUUGGCACAUAGGAAGGAAUUACAUGAGGGAAGACCGUAUUACAUCGUGACAGCUGGAAAACUGGGGACUGAAAAAUGAGACAAGCUAGCCAACAGGACAAGCAGUGAGCCUUAAAUCUGAACAGAGAUGGACUUCUUCAGUGGAAUCUACAGCCACUGAAGUCAACACAAAGACCCCCUUCGGAUGGGACCAUAAAAUAACAGAGAAGAUGGAGAUGAAGAUGAUCACCAGACAGGGAGAGAGAGAGAAACAAUAGUUUCGCACCACCGUGUCCAAUGCCAAGAACUGAUGCGUCACUCAAUGGUGGAAAGCAAUAGAAGCCUGCCUGAGUCUUGUUAAGCCUGGAGAAUUUGGAGGAUUUUAUUUCCCUUGUGUUCUAAAAACGCUCUAAUAGUUUUUUUGUUUGGCCAUCUGUAGAA